rnacentral:rRNA from 1 species
AAUCAACGCUGGCGGCGUGCCUAACACAUGCAAGUCGAGCGAGAAAGGGUAGCAAUACCUGAGUACAGCGGCGCACGGGUGAGUAACACGUGGAUAACCUGCCUCGAAGUGGGGGAUAACACCGGGAAACCGGUGCUAAUACCGCAUACUCUGACGAGAUCUGCGGAUUUUGUCAGCAAAGGAGCAAUUCGCUUUGAGAGGGGUCCGCGGCUGAUUAGCUAGUUGGUGAGGUAACGGCUCACGAAGGCAACGAUCAGUAGCCGGUCUGAGAGGACGGUCGGCCACACUGGAACUGAGACACGGUCCAGACUCCUACGGGAGGCAGCAGUGGGGAAUUUUUGGCAAUGGGCGAAAGCCUGACCAAGCAACGCCGCGUGGAUGAUGAAGUAUCUCGGUACGUAAAAUCCUUUCGACGGGGACGAAACCGCAAGGUUGACGGUACCCGUAGAAGAAGCCCCGGCUAACUCCGUGCCAGCCGCCGCAGUAACAC